rnacentral:rRNA from 1 species
AUUGAACGCUGGCGGCAGGCCUAACACAUGCAAGUCGAACGGUAACAGGAAGCAGCUUGCUGCUUCGCUGACGAGUGGCGGACGGGUGAGUAAUGUCUGGGAAACUGCCUGAUGGAGGGGGAUAACUACUGGAAACGGUAGCUAAUACCGCAUAACGUCGCAAGACCAAAGAGGGGGACCUUAGGGCCUCUUGCCAUCGGAUGUGCCCCGAUGGGAUUAGCUAGUAGGUGGGGUAACGGCUCACCUAGGCGACGAUCCCUAGCUGGUCUGAGAGGAUGACCAGCCACACUGGAACUGAGACACGGUCCAGACUCCUACGGGAGGCAGCAGUGGGGAAUAUUGCACAAUGGGCGCAAGCCUGAUGCAGCCAUGCCGCGUGUAUGAAGAAGGCCUUCGGGUUGUAAAGUACUUUCAGCGGGGAGGAAGGGAGUAAAGUUAAUACCUUUGCUCAUUGACGUUACCCGCAGAAGAAGCGCCGGCUAACUCCGUG